rnacentral:rRNA from 1 species
UUUAUUGGAGAGUUUGAUCCUGGCUCAGGAUGAACGCUGGCGGCGUGCCUAAUACAUGCAAGUCGAGCGAAUGGAUUGAGAGCUUG